UGGAGGGGGAUAACUACUGGAAACGGUGGCUAAUACCGCAUAACGUCGCAAGACCAAAGAGGGGGACCUUCGGGCCUCUUGCCAUCAGAUGUGCCCAGAUGGGAUUAGCUUGUUGGUGAGGUAACGGCUCACCAAGGCGACGAUCCCUAGCUGGUCUGAGAGGAUGACCAGCCACACUGGAACUGAGACACGGUCCAGACUCCUACGGGAGGCAGCAGUGGGGAAUAUUGCACAAUGGGCGCAAGCCUGAUGCAGCCAUGCCGCGUGUAUGAAGAAGGCCUUCGGGUUGUAAAGUACUUUCAGCGGGGAGGAAGGUGUUGUGGUUAAUAACCGCAGCAAUUGACGUUACCCGCAGAAGAAGCACCGGCUAACUCCGUGCCAGCAGCCGCGGUAAUACGGAGGGUGCAAGCGUUAAUCGGAAUUACUGGGCGUAAAGCGCACGCAGGCGGUCUGUCAAGUCGGAUGUGAAAUCCCCGGGCUCAACCUGGGAACUGCAUUCGAAACUGGCAGGCUUGAGUCUUGUAGAGGGGGGUAGAAUUCCAGGUGUAGCGGUGAAAUGCGUAGAGAUCUGGAGGAAUACCGGUGGCGAAGGCGGCCCCCUGGACAAAGACUGACGCUCAGGUGCGAAAGCGUGGGGAGCAAACAGGAUUAGAUACCCUGGUAGUCCACGCCGUAAACGAUGUCUACUUGGAGGUUGUGCCCUUGAGGCGUGGCUUCCGGAGCUAACGCGUUAAGUAGACCGCCUGGGGAGUACGGCCGCAAGGUUAAAACUCAAAUGAAUUGACGGGGGCCCGCACAAGCGGUGGAGCAUGUGGUUUAAUUCGAUGCAACGCGAAGAACCUUACCUGGUCUUGACAUCCACAGAAGAAUCCAGAGAUGGAUUUGUGCCUUCGGGAACUGUGAGACAGGUGCUGCAUGGCUGUCGUCAGCUCGUGUUGUGAAAUGUUGGGUUAAGUCCCGCAACGAGCGCAACCCUUAUCCUUUGUUGCCAGCGGUUAGGCCGGGAACUCAAAGGAGACUGCCAGUGAUAAACUGGAGGAAGGUGGGGAUGACGUCAAGUCAUCAUGGCCCUUACGACCAGGGCUACACACGUGCUACAAUGGCGCAUACAAAGAGAAGCGACCUCGCGAGAGCAAGCGGACCUCAUAAAGUGCGUCGUAGUCCGGAUUGGAGUCUGCAACUCGACUCCAUGAAGUCGGAAUCGCUAGUAAUCGUGGAUCAGAAUGCCACGGUGAAUACGUUCCCGGGCCUUGUACACACCGCCCGUCACACCAUGGGAGUGGGUUGCAAAAGAAGUAGGUAGCUUAACCUUCGGGAGGGCGCUUACCACUUUGUGAUUCAUGACUGGGGUGAAGUCGUAACAAGGUAACCGUAGGGGAACCUGCGGUUGGAUCACCUCCUUACCUUAAAGAAGC
rnacentral:rRNA from 1 species